rnacentral:rRNA from 1 species
GGCCUGGCGGGACGGUCUGCCUUACGGUAUGUACUGUCCGGCCGGGCCUUACCUCUUGGUGAGGCUGCAUGCCCUUUAUUGGGUGUGUAGUGGAACCAGGAAUUUUACCUUGAGAAAAUUAGAGUGUUCAAAGCAGGCAAUUGCCCGAAUACAUUAGCAUGGAAUAAUAGAAUAGGACGUGCGGUUCUAUUUUGUUGGUUUCUAGGAUCGCCGUA